GACGAACCGAGCGAACGUUAUUCGGAAUCACUGGGCUUAAAGGGCGCGUAGGCGGGCGUUCAAGUCAGGGGUGAAAGCCCACGGCUCAACCGUGGAAGUGCCUCUGAUACUGGGCGUCUCGAGGGAGGUAGGGGCGUGCGGAACUUCCGGUGGAGCGGUGAAAUGCGUAGAUAUCGGAAGGAACACCGGUGGCGAAAGCGGCGCGCUGGACCUCUUCUGACGCUGAGGCGCGAAAGCCAGGGGAGCGAACAGG
rnacentral:rRNA from 1 species